rnacentral:rRNA from 1 species
CCUGUGAAACCUAAAAGUUCGAAAAGAGAGAUUCAACGUCAGUGGAUAUUGUAUUCACGUGAGUAGUGAUGUAAGUUUUUAGUAGAAGGGUCAAACCUUUUAUUAUAAUACUCGCACAUUUUCAUGUUAUUUUAUUGCAAUAUCUUGCCGGCGUGCACUUCUCUCUUAGUAGGACGUCCCGACCCGUUGAGUCUUGGCCUACGGCACAGAUGGUAGCCUUUAAUAUUUCGGUAUUAAAGACCUCUGUUGUACUCCUGGCUAAAGUACUCGACGGUAGUUUAAUGAUAUGGUGUUGAGCCGCAUAUGCGUCCGGCCUGUCGCAAGUAAUUGGUAUAUUCUGUAUUACUAUAGACUAAGUGCUAUGUAUAUGGUUAUACCGCUUUGCAUGACUGUGCUUUAGGACCGGCUUAUUCAUCUGUCAGGGACGCUUAGGCUUUGGGUACUCACAGGACCCGUCUUGAAACACGGACCAAGGAGUCUAACAUGUACGCGAGUCAUUGGGUAUAUAUUUUCCUUCGGGAAUUUAUAUAAAACAAACCUAAAGGCGAAAUGAAAGUAAAGGUUGAA